rnacentral:tRNA from 1 species
UGCAUCGGCCGGGAAUCGAACCCGGGCCGCCCGCGUGGCAGGCAAGCAUUCUACCACUAAAUGUAGC